AGUCAUCAACCCCUCCGGUUUCGUGCGGGAGGAGGGUUGGAGUUGGGGGCUUGCGGCCGCGAGGCUCGCUCCCCUCAAAUGCUUCGGUUGGGCCUGUGGGGUCGAACUCGGUAGGGCGUUGUACCAUCCUCGCUCUUGCUCCGAGAGGUUCCUCCUUUGUUUGAGCCCUCCCUCGACCGCCUCUAGAGCGGCGGUCAAGCUAACUUUGAA
rnacentral:misc_RNA from 1 species